UACGUAGGGACCAAGCGUUGUUCGGAUUUAUUGGGCGUAAAGCGCUCGCAGGCGGUUUUGUAAGUCAGAUGUGAAAUCCCCGGGCUUAACCUGGGAAUGGCAUUUGGGACUGCAAGGCUGGAGUGUGGCAGAGGAGACUGGAAUUCCUGGUGUAGCAGUGAAAUGCGUAGAUAUCAGGAGGAAUACCGAUGGCGAAGGCAGGUCUCUGGGCUGACACUGACGCUCAUGCACGAAAGCGUGGGGAGCAAACAGG
rnacentral:rRNA from 1 species